ACGAACGCUGGCGGCGUGGAUAAGACAUGCAAGUCGAACGGGAGAAUUGCUAGCUUGCUAAUAAUUCUCUAGUGGCGCACGGGUGAGUAACACGUGAGUAACCUGCCUCUUAGUGGGGGAUAGCCCUGGGAAACCAGGAUUAAUACCGCAUACGAUUGAAAGAUCAAAGCAGCAAUGCGCUAGGAGAUGGGCUCGCGGCCUAUUAGUUAGUUGGUGAGGUAACGGCUCACCAAGGCGAUGACGGGUAGCCGGUCUGAGAGGAUGUCCGGCCACACUGGAACUGAGACACGGUCCAGACACCUACGGGUGGCAGCAGUCGAGAAUCAUUCACAAUGGGGGCAACCCUGAUGGUGCGACGCCGCGUGGGGGAAUGAAGGUCUUCGGAUUGUAAACCCCUGUCAUGUGGGAGCAAAUUAAAAAGAUAGUACCACAAGAGGAAGAGACGGCUAACUCUGUGCCAGCAGCCGCGGUAAUACAGAGGUCUCAAGCGUUGUUCGGAAUCACUGGGCGUAAAGCGUGCGUAGGCUGUUUCGUAAGUCGUGUGUGAAAGGCAGGGGCUCAACCCCUGGAUUGCACAUGAUACUGCGAGACUAGAGUAAUGGAGGGGGAACCGGAAUUCUCGGUGUAGCAGUGAAAUGCGUAGAUAUCGAGAGGAACACUCGUGGCGAAGGCGGGUUCCUGGACAUUAACUGACGCUGAGGCACGAAGGCCAGGGGAGCGAAAGGGAUUAGAUACCCCUGUAGUCCUGGCAGUAAACGGUGCACGCUUGGUGUGCGGGGAAUCGACCCCCUGCGUGCCGGAGCUAACGCGUUAAGCGUGCCGCCUGGGGAGUACGGUCGCAAGAUUAAAACUCAAAGAAAUUGACGGGGACCCGCACAAGCGGUGGAGUAUGUGGCUUAAUUCGAUGCAACGCGAAGAACCUUACCUGGGCUUGACAUGUAAUGAACAACAUGUGAAAGCAUGCGACUCUUCGGAGGCGUUACACAGGUGCUGCAUGGCCGUCGUCAGCUCGUGUCGUGAGAUGUUUGGUUAAGUCCAGCAACGAGCGCAACCCCUGUUGCCAGUUACCAGCACGUCAAGGUGGGGACUCUGGCGAGACUGCCCAGAUCAACUGGGAGGAAGGUGGGGACGACGUCAGGUCAGUAUGGCCCUUAUGCCCAGGGCUGCACACGUACUACAAUGCCCAGUACAGAGGGGGCCGAAGCCGCGAGGCGGAGGAAAUCCUGAAAACUGGGCCCAGUUCGGACUGUAGGCUGCAACCCGCCUACACGAAGCCGGAAUCGCUAGUAAUGGCGCAUCAGCUACGGCGCCGUGAAUACGUUCCCGGGUCUUGUACACACCGCCCGUCACAUCAUGGAAGCCGGUCGCACCCGAAGUAUCUGAAGCCAACCGCAAGGAGGCAGGGUCCUAAGGUGAGACUGGUAACUGGGAUG
rnacentral:rRNA from 1 species